rnacentral:rRNA from 1 species
ACGACCUCAAAUCAGAUAGGA